GAGAAGGAAUCAGAUUCUGCAUAUAUUUCCAAGUUAACAUGAACAAGAUUUUCUGAAAGACUGCUAUGGAGUCUGAGAAAAAAUGUCAAAGGUAGUGCCAAAAUUGUCACUUAAAGAACUGCAGGAAUGGAGUUGGCAUUUACAGAAUUUGGAAGAGAAGCAGGUUUAGUGAUAAAGACCAGAAGCACAGAGCUAAGCAUAUUAAAUGUGAGUUGUCUAUUAGGCAUUCAAGAAGACAUAUAGAGUGGGCAGUGGCUAUAUGAGGCUAGAGUUCUGGGAAGGCUGGGCUGAUGACAGAAAUGUAUUAGUCAUUAACAUUUAUGUGUGUGUGUACACAUAUGCACAUGAACACUGGAUAUGCGAAUGCACAGAUUGAGGACAUGAAGAGGAAAGAACUGACAGAGGAGGUGAAGAAAGGUGAUCAGGAAGAGCCAUCAAAGUGUUAUCCUGGAAUUCAAGUGAAGACAGUGUUUCAAAGUGGAAAUGAACAGUGUCCUGUAACCCUCAGAGUGAGACUAGAGUCAGAAUGCAGGCUUUUCUCAUUUGAAAUCUAUUGAAUAAACAUCAGUAAAAGAAGCAAUCCAAGUUCUCAUGCCAAAUAUGUAUAUGUCCAAGACCAGGAUUUCUUCAUGUCUGAAUGUGGAUAUGGAGCCUAGAGUACUAGCAAGGUAAGUCCAGGUCCUUACCUCCACCUAAAAGUUCUGCCAUCAAGGAACAUCUGCUCAUUAUCUUCUGUU
ensembl:lncRNA LINC02790 long intergenic non-protein coding RNA 2790